GAUGCACACCAACUCUCAGCAUUAACCCAUCCAGUACAGGGGAAAACACAAACAGAGCUUGCACACUCGGAAGUCGACCGGCGCACAGCAUGAGUCACGGAGUAUCACAACCUGCCCUUAACUUGGGGAUAACCCGUAGAAAGACGGCACUAAUACCCAAUGAUAUUCAUCGAUGACAUAUCAUUUGAAUUCAAGAUUUAUCGGAUCGGAGGGGAUGCGUCAGAUUAGCUAGUUGGUGAGGUAACGGCUCACCAAGGCCCCAAUCAGUAGGGGUUCUGAGAGGAAGGUCCCCCACAUUGGAACUGAGACAAGGUCCAAACUCCUACGGGAGGCAGCAGUGAGGCAUAUUGGUCAAUAGACGAGAGUCUGAACCAGCCAAGUAGCGUGCAGGAUGACGGCCCUAUGGGUUGUAAACUGCUUUUGUUUGGGAAUAAUCGACAUUACGUGUAAUGUUUUGCAUGUACCAUUCGAAUAAGGACCGGCUAAUUCCGUGCCAGCAGCCGCGGUAAUACGGAAGGUCCAGGCGUUAUCCGGAUUUAUUGGGUUUAAAGGGAGUGUAGGCGGUUGGUUAAGCGUGUUGUGAAAUGUAGAUGCUCAACAUCUGACUUGCAGCGCGAACUGGCUGACUUGAGUACACACAACGUAGGCGGAAUUCAUGGUGUAGCGGUGAAAUGCUUAGAUAUCAUGAAGAACUCCGAUUGCGAAGGCAGCUUACGGGAGUGUUACUGACGCUUAAGCUCGAAGGUGCGGGUAUCGAACAGG
rnacentral:rRNA from 1 species